GGAUAAGUGGUCGAGUGGUUUAAAACGUUAGUCUUGAAAACUAUUGUAUUAAUAAAUACCGUGGGUUCGAAUCCCACCUUAUCCU
rnacentral:tRNA from 1 species